rnacentral:rRNA from 1 species
GGGUAACAGGGAGUGCUUGCACUCUGCUGACGACCGGCGCACGGGUGCGUAACGCGUAUGCAACCUACCUUCUACAGGGGGAUAGUCCAGAGAAAUUUGGCAUAAUACCCCAUACGAUCAUUUAUUGGCAUCGAUAGAUGAGGAAAACUCCGGUGGUAGAAGAUGGGCAUGCGUCCUAUUAGUUAGUUGGUAAGGUAACGGCUUACCAAGACAUCGAUAGGUAGGGGUCCUGAGAGGGAGAUCCCCCACACUGGUACUGAGACACGGACCAGACUCCUACGGGAGGCAGCAGUGAGGAAUAUUGGACAAUGGAGGCAACUCUGAUCCAGCCAUGCCGCGUGCAGGAAGACGGCCCUACGGGUUGUAAACUGCUUUUAUACAGGAAGAAACGCCGCUACGUGUAGCGGUUUGACGGUACUGUACGAAUAAGGAUCGGCUAACUCCGUGCCAGCAGCCGCGGUAAUACGGAGGAUCCAAGCGUUAUCCGGAAUCAUUGGGUUUAAAGGGUCCGUAGGCGGUUUUUUAAGUCAGAGGUGAGAUCCUGCAGCUCAACUGUAGCAUUGCUUUUGAUACUGAAAGACUUGAGUUAUUGUGAAGUAGUUAGAAUGUGUAGUGUAGCGGUGAAAUGCAUAGAUAUUACACAGAAUACCGAUUGCGAAGGCAGAUUACUAACAAUAUACUGACGCUGAGGGACGAAAGCGUGGGUAGCGAACAGGAUUAGAUACCCUGGUAGUCCACGCCGUAAACGAUGGAUACUAGCUGUUCGACCAACAUUGGUUGGUUGAGUGGCUAAGCGAAAGUGAUAAGUAUCCCACCUGGGGAGUACGCUCGCAAGAGUGAAACUCAAAGGAAUUGACGGGGGCCCGCACAAGCGGUGGAGCAUGUGGUUUAAUUCGAUGAUACGCGAGGAACCUUACCAGGGCUUAAAUGUAAGUUGCAUAGACCAGAGAUGGUCUUUUUUUCGGACUACUUACAAGGUGCUGCAUGGUUGUCGUCAGCUCGUGCCGUGAGGUGUCAGGUUAAGUCCUAUAACGAGCGCAACCCCUGUCGUUAGUUGCCAGCAAGUUAAGUUGGGCACUCUAGCG